rnacentral:rRNA from 1 species
AACGAACGCUGGCGGCAUGCCUAACACAUGCAAGUCGAACGAGACCUUCGGGUCUAGUGGCGCACGGGUGCGUAACGCGUGGGAACCUGCCCUUAGGUUCGGGAUAACUCCCCGAAAGGGGUGCUAAUACCGGAUAAUGUCUUCGGACCAAAGUUUUAUCGCCUUUGGAUGGGCCCGCGUUGGAUUAGCUAGUUGGUAGGGUAAAAGCCUACCAAGGCGACGAUCCAUAGCUGGUCUGAGAGGAUGAUCAGCCACACUGGGACUGAGACACGGCCCAGACUCCUACGGGAGGCAGCAGUGGGGAAUAUUGGACAAUGGGCGAAAGCCUGAUCCAGCAAUGCCGCGUGAGUGAUGAAGGCCUUAGGGUUGUAAAGCUCUUUUACCCGGGAUGAUAAUGACAGUACCGGGAGAAUAAGCUCCGGCUAACUCCGUG